rnacentral:sRNA from 1 species
UCACUGGAGUCCCACGCCGUCCCCCGGCGCU